UGGGUUGGUGGGGGCAUUUUUUUCCACUUCAUGUUCUCAUUCAGAUGAAAACAGCUCACUGAGAGAAUGUGCCUGUUCUUCAAGGUUUAAGGUCUCUGGCUCUGCCCACUGUGAGCUUCUUUUUCUAAGAUGUCGAAGGCUUCGUGCAUUCUCUGUGGCAAUCGAGGAUAUCAUUUUUGGGAAAUUAGUCAAGAAUUAUUUUCUUUUUAAUAAUUUAAACCCAGCGAAAUUGAAAGAGUUUGUGACAUGUGUGACUUUGGUCAAGCCUCGAAUUUGAUCUCACGCAGUCAAAUUUGAACUCCGGUCCUGUUAUUUACGGAUAAUAUCAGCACGCAGGAUUUUUAAAAACAAAGGUCAUCAGACAUGUCUGCAGGAAUAUGCAUAUUUUUUUGCUCGAUUCUGCUGCUUGCUGGCGUCUUUGUGUCCGUCUCUGCAGACCAGAAAAGCAUCACAGUUCAGUCUGGACAGAACAUCAGUCUACCAUGUCAAGCUCCAAAUGAUAAGGGUUCCAUCAGAGUGGUAAAGUGGACCAAACCUGACCUACAAAAUAAAAAUGUAUAUUUGUAUGUGGAUCAGCGAUUUGAUCUCGAGGAUCAGAAUCCAUCUUUUAAGAAUCGGGUGGAUCUGCAGGACAGACAGAUGAAAAAUGGAAACGUGUCUUUGAUUCUGAACAAUGUGACAAUUAAUGACACUGGAACAUACGAGUGUACUGUUACCCAGAAAAAAGACCUCAGCCCUUACACCACUACUAUAACUCUUGACCUGGACGUUAUUAAUUCUAAAGGUCAGACAUUCCUACCAGUAGGACGAAUUGUAAGUGGUUCUUUUGGACUGGCCGUUGGUCUGUAUGUUCCUGUUGUGCUUCUUGUUGUUGCUUUUGUUUUUUAGCUACAGAAAAUUUAAAGAAAACAGUCAGUGUUCAAACCAAGCUC